GACGAACGCUGGCGGCGUGCUUAACACAUGCAAGUCGAACGGAAAGGCCCUGCUUGCAGGGUACUCGAGUGGCGAACGGGUGAGUAACACGUGGGUUAUCUGCCCUGCACUUCGGGAUAAGCCUGGGAAACUGGGUCUAAUACCGGAUAGGAGCCAUUUUUAGUGUGAUGGUUGGAAAGUUUUUUCGGUGUAGGAUGAGCUCGCGGCCUAUCAGCUUGUUGGUGGGGUAAUGGCCUACCAAGGCGGCGACGGGUAGCCGGCCUGAGAGGGUGGACAGCCACAUUGGGACUGAGAUACGGCCCAGACUCCUACGGGAGGCAGCAGUGGGGAAUAUUGCACAAUGGGCGCAAGCCGGAUGCAGCGACGCCGCGUGGGGGAUGACGGCCUUCGGGUUGUAAACUCCUUUCGCUAGGGACGAAGCUUUUUGUGACGGUACCUAGAUAAGAAGCACCGGCUAACUACGUG
rnacentral:rRNA from 1 species